rnacentral:rRNA from 1 species
AACUGUCGUUCUUGAGUACUGGAGAGGCAGACGGAAUUCCUAGUGUAGCGGUGAAAUGCGUAGAUAUAGGGAGGAACACCAGUGGCGAAGGCGGUCUGCUGGACAGCAACUGACGCUGAGGCGCGAAAGCGUGGGGAGCAAACAGGAUUAGAUACCCUGGUAGUCCACGCUGUAAACGAUGGAUACUAGGUGUGGGGGGACUGACCCCCUCCGUGCCGCAGUUAACACAAUAAGUAUCCCACCUGGGGAGUACGAUCGCAAGGUUGAAACUCAAAGGAAUUGACGGGGGCCAGCACAAGCGGUGGAGUAUGUGGUUUAAUUCGAAGCAACGCGAAGAACCUUACCAGGGCUUGACAUCCCGAGGCCCGGGCUAGAGAUAGCCUUUUCUCUUCGGAGACCUCGGUGACAGGUGGUGCAUGGUUGUCGUCAGCUCGUGUCGUGAGAUGUUGGGUUAAGUCCCGCAACGAGCGCAACCCUUAUUGUUAGUUGCUACGCAAGAGCACUCUAGCGAGACUGCCGUUGACAAAACGGAGGAAGGCGGGGACGACGUCAAAUCAUCAUGCCCCUUAUGUCCUGGGCCACACACGUACUACAAUGGUGGUUAACAGAGGGAGGCAAGACUGCGAAGUGGAGCAAAUCCCUAAAAGCCAUCUCAGUUCGGAUUGCAGGCUGCAACCCGCCUGCAUGAAGUUGGAAUCGCUAGUAAUCGCGGAUCAGCAUGCCGCGGUGAAUACGUUCCCUGGCCUUGUACACACCGCCCGUCACACCAUGAGAGUCGGGAACACCCGAAGUCCGUAGCCUAACCGCAAGGGGGGCGCGGCCGAAGGUGGGUUCGAUAAUUGGGGUGAAGUCGUAACAAAGGUAGCCGUAAAGCC